CUUGCAGUGAGCCGAGAUUGUGCCACUGCACUCCAGCCUGGGUGACAGAGCAAGACUCCGUCUCAAAAAGAAAGGGCGCAGUUUGCAGGCCAGUGAACUAAUGCACCCUCACCAUAUAGCCCGACAAAAAUUGAUCUGCCAUGGAGCUCUAAAGAACUCAUAAUUUCUCCAAAAGGACCAUCUUUCUGCACCUAUACAGUUGUUGAAGAUCAAGGGUCAGCAAACUGUGGUCCACAGGCCAGUUGCAUAUUUUUGCACAUAAAGUUUUAUUGGAACAUAACCAUAGCCAUUUAUUCACAUAGUGUGUAUGGCUGCUUUUGUGUACAAUGGCAGAGUUGCAAAGCCUAAAAUAUUUACUAUUUGGCCCUUUAAGAAAAAGUUUCCUGACCCCUGUUUUAGUUAGUUCUGGAAUGAUCAGCAUGUGUGGAAAAUCCUCGGGUUGAUGCAGAAGCUUAGUGGCUGCACAGUAGUGAUACGUUGUUUUCCCAGGCUAUUUUAUUGUUUCUUAAUUCCUUAAUCACUUUCUGGAUUAAAUUCAGGGCCAGAAGUCACUCAGACAUCUCUAAGGAUUGUCUUACUGGCAUAAGCUAAAGCACAUAUUAUUCUGCAUUCAUGGAUUAAAAUAUUAAGUAAUUUGAUCUAGAUGAUUGUUUACAGUUGAACAAAUGCACUGAGUCUGUUCUGAUUAUUUACUCAAGGAUUAUAUUUUCUUACUACAUUCACUCAAGAAUAAUAGUAUGUAAUCAUUUCCUGUGGGAUCUGCAAUGUUGAGGCCCUCCUUCAAAGUUAGUUCUCUGAUUUGACUCCAUGACAUGGAGUUGGCCUUUAGGUUAUGUGGCUGAGGUUCCUCAAACAGGAUGUUAAUUUUCCACUCUUUGUGGCAGGAGAAAUAUAGUCUAAUCUCAUGAUUUAAUGAACCAAAGAGCCGUCUCCCUUUUCACACUAUCCUUCUUUUAAAAAAUAAAUGUUAAUUUUGUUUCUUUGUGCAUCUUUUGGAACAAACUUGUAUUUUCAAAGUGCUCACCCCAUACUCAGGUGAGCAUACUCUCUAAGGCAGCCCAUUUGGAACAAACGAGCUUUAGCCAAGAGUUUAGUGAUAAAAAUACAUUGCUUGCAAAGCUCUAAUUUAGCACUCUGGUGCCUCCUACAUGGUUUUGCCAACAAACUCAUCUUUGCCUGAAAUAUAGGCUCUUCGAAGGCAGCUGCCACUCUCUCUUCAAGAUGCGAGGGGGAAGAGAGUUUGAGGCUUUUCAUUGUGAAGGACCCUCCACCCCCGUGUUCCUCCCACAGGCUCCUGAUUCACACAGCACAAGUUAAGAAACAGGGAAAUGGAAUCUUCUUGCCGAGGCAUGCAGCAGCUAGCUCCUUUGAAUCAGAAAAAUGUAUGUUCGUCAUCGCCAAGUUUGAAAUGCAGAUCCAUCACUGCUGCUGGAAAUUUGAGGCUGGUUCAGAGCCAGACCAGCCGCUCCUGGGGUCUUUUCUAUGUAAGAGGCAGUCUAGCCUGUUUAAGGUUGCUGUGUCCCCAGAGCCCUGGCACUCCCUCUGACAAGUUUCCACUCACUCCUUUCUGGUCUAUCCAGGAACCCUUCUCUGAGUUUUCAAGGACUGGCUAGGUGUCCUGCCUCAGAGUCACCUACCACCUGCAUUUUCCCCAUCAUAAAUUUGAAAUUGCUACUUUGCCUAUCUUUGCAUGGGCUCUUCCUCUAACUACACUGUGAGAGCCUUAAAUCCAGAAACCAUGUCUUUUUUUUUUUUUCCCAAAAAGACUCUCAGAUGAAUUUGCCAGGACUAAAACACAAUUCCCUGUUUCCCAUAUAUAGCCCACUGUAGAAAUUCAAUGGUUUUUGAAUGAAAGGAUGAAUGAGUGAAUGAAGGGACUUCAGAUCUGACUGGGGCAGAGACUGUGAAGCUAGAAACUUAGGUUGCUUUCCCUUCCUUCCCUUCCCAUUCCUCCUCUUCCAAUACCCAAGUCUGACAGGCUAUGAAGCACCUCUAUAUAUGGCUGAUGGAGCUUUAAUUGUUCACCCUAUCUUUUUAAAUUUAGCACUGUGCCCGAAGUCCAGGCACUUAGCUCUGGAUGCCCGACUGCAGAAAAUACCAAGAGCCAGUAGAAAAACUGCACCAAUGCUGGGGGUCCUAUUUUAAUUAUUCUAGAAAAUCACUUUUUGCUCAGUGUUUGGUUUCAUUUGGGGCUGACCUCCUUUCUUGCAGGCCCUAGAUUCGUGACAUCUAUAUUAAUCAGCAGAAUAAUUUUAGCCAAUUCCUUACCCUCGUUUUUCCUUCCCCUCAUUUGGACAGCUAGCCUUGUUUGUACUCCUUAUCUCAGAGAUGAGAUGUGAUAAUAAGAGGCAGAGAAAUAAAAGUAUGUUCCUGGCUUUUGGAUUCAGAAGUUGCCUUUAUGGGAAGGAAAAAACAAAACAAACAAAUGUGGCAUAGAUACAAUAUUUGGAAGAAAAGAUAACAAGAGUAGAAAAGAGUUUCUUAUUCUUAGGGGGAGGAAGUGAACUCAUGGGAAGGUACAGAGGGCAGAGAUGUUUCUGGGUCCUGUGUGCUACUUCACCCUGGGAAGGUGACACAAUCGCAGAUGUUUCUGUGAGAGUUGGAAGCAGAAAAGACACAUUCUUUGCCUCCUCAGUGGAGCCUCGGGGAAGAAAUGGGUGCAUAGUGGGUGCCCACUGAAGAGACACAGGCAGAUGUGCAAAGUUUUCCAUGCCCCAGUGAGAAAGAAGCAUGUCUCUUCAUGCCCAAGAGCACAUCAGAGAAAUGGAGAGUGCUUCUGAAUCCGAAAAGGUCACACAGUCAAGAGUGAAGAAUGUCUCAAUAAAUACCAGUGUGGAAGGAUGAUCUUGAGGACCACAUCCCUCACUCUCUCUCCUUCCCCUCCCCUUUCUGCACGUCUUGCAUCUCAGAAGCCCCUCCCAGAAACUAGAUACAACCCCAGGGGAAGGCGAGGUUGAAAUCCACAAGUUCACUGAGAUGGUUUCUGACAGUGCAAAGAAAGCGAGACUUGAAAUCAAAAUUAGGUUCUGUUUCUCACAUAAAUGUCUGGACUAGAAUUGUGUCCACUGCUCACAUCUUAUAUUCAGGGAUGACAUAUCUCAUGGAAGAACAGGGCUCAGCUGGCCAUUUAAAUGUCUUCCUAACAAAUGUUAAGGUUCUAGAAAGCAAAUGGUGGGUAUACUAUCCAACAUAUGCCGUGAAAGCAGAGCCAAUCCUGGGGGAAAGUUUCUCUCCUAAUGGUAAGGUGUCCAUAUUCUCUGCCCCAAGAACCAAGACGAGUGAUCUGACAAGUGUGAAGACUGCAUUUCAACCUGAAAAGGAUUUUUCUUAAACUCAAGCAUGAUAUUAGCUCUACUUUGAAUACCAGUUACGAAAAUUCAUAACAAGCUGAGACGGAACAUGCACACUGGUUUGCAGAUCCCUUGCAGUGACUCUACAUCUCCUAGGAAUCUGAGGUUCACAAGGUGAAACCCACCAGGCCAAACAAUUUAAAAUUGGUUUUGUUUUGAAAGUCCAGUAAGUAUGAUGGCAAUGUCUUGCAGAAAUUCCUCUUUUAGUAUUCCAGUCUGUGGGCUCUGGCAGAAGUAAUAGUCUGCUGCAAACAGAUCACUCUUUUUUGUUUGCAAAGUCUUCAUACCAGCUGAAUCACAGCUUGCUUUUCACUUUUCGUAACACCUUGCAACAUCGCAAAAUAUUUGCUGGAGUUUGUGAAGGGCGGCUGCAGAAUUAGUAAACUGAAAGGAGGCCUUCCUUUACUCCCACCCCUGUCAGCACCUUCUGUUCUAGCAGACCGAAAGGCAGCUUGAGAACUCUGAUUGCUUCUCCAGAUUAUGACAAUUCUUGGCACCAUCGCCCGGGGCAAGAAUGGAAGCAAAGGAAACAUUAUGGAGUUUUGCAGGUGCCAGUACAUAAUAUUGUCACUUUACAAACUUGAAUUUAUAAAUGACUUCGUGAAGGUAAGUUGCUAUGGUAACCAGCCUUCUCAACUUUCAUAUCUGGAAGUAAGGAUCAUAUGGCCCCUUCUGUUUGGGACUAUGUAUUCUGGAUUUAAUGAAUAACUACCCGUGCUCUAACUUCUAGUUAACUAGGCUCAUGGGAUGCUAGACUAGGAAGCAACAUUAGCAAUCAUCUCAUUCUACCUCCUUCAUUCAUAGAUGGGAACUGAGACGCAGAGAAGUGGCGCUGUACAGCUAACACGUGUCAGCCCUGAGCCUGUGGUUUCUCACUUAGUUUUCUUUUUUCUUUUUUUCAAAAUGAGUGAUUUUUGCAAGGCAGUUUACUUGUAUAUUGUUAUUUUUAAACAUUUUAGAUUCAGGGUCCAUAUGCAUAUUUGUCACAUGGUGUGCUGAUGGGGACUGGGCUUUGUGUUAGUCAGGGUUCUCCAGAGGAAUGUUUUCUUGCUUAGUUUUCUAGUGCUCUUUUCUUUCUACCACACUGCCUUUCUGAAGGGACGCACCCAGCUUCCACGAGUGGAUAAGAGACAUGGAACCACAGUUAGACACAGGGCCACCGUCACUUCUUGCUGAGAUGUUAAAACAAGUCCUCUCUAUGUGCUGGUGUGUGAAAUGUCUAAUUUUCUCUAUCAGAGUUAUUACAAAUUCCACAUGACAACAACUUUCAUUGAUUCAAAAUGAUGUAUGAGGGGACAGUGUGGGGAGGUGGGGAAUGACCUGAAGAAGCAUGAUCUAGUAUUGUGGUUCCAUAGUCUACCAUACAUAGAUUAGCAGUCUGCAAAGAAUUAGACUGUACCCGAAUUGUAGUGAACAUAACAUAAACUUCCUUUAGUAACUCAAAAACAAUGUCUCUUUGGCUUUUUAAAGCCUAAUUUCUUGAACAAUAAUUUCUGUUGCAUAAAUACAUGAAAAGGUGCUUCUGAUAAAGAGCUUUCCUUCCAGUUAAGAAAUCACCAGGCCACAGAAGAUUUAGCUGUUAGGAUUUUCCAUAGAUUCUUGGAGUGAAGAAUGGCAGAAGCUUAGAGUAUUUAGUACAUUCUUCUAAAAGCAAAUCAAAAUGCAAAAUUAAAACUAAACAGUGAAAUGAGAGUGUUCGUCCAUUUUAAAGAGAGAUGAAUACAAACGCUGGAUCCUCAACAGUCUUUAAACAUUGCAGAUCACCUGGAUAUGUGGUUAAAAUGCAGAUUCUGGUUCAGGAGGUCAGGGAAGAGACCCAAGAUUCUGCAUUGCUAACAAGCUCUCGGGUGCUAUCAACGCCGCUUGUCCUUGAUCUACACCUUGCGUAGAAAGGGACUAGUUAACGUGCUGUCUCCUUGAAUGCGUUUUCUGUGAGGGUCAGCCCUGACCACCCCAGUCACAGGAAUCUUUCUAGCCUCCGGAUUCCUAGUGCUCAUUUUGUAUAUAUCAUCCACAAGGUACUUAGGUACUGCCGUAUAUUGGUAUGUCCCAUAUGUGCAUGUCUUCUGUCCCCAACCAGAUUGUAAGCCCAUCUGUGUUUGCUCAGCCCUGUGUGUGCAACAGAGGUGCUGAAUGAAGAACUAUCGAUGAUUGAUUGAUACGUUAAAGACUACUUCCUCAGAAUGGUACACUUCACUCAUCAAUGGAGCUCAAGACGUAAAAGUCUGGUUUAAGAGACGUUGAAUCUCUUCUGCCUUUUAUUCUCCCUUUCUUGUAAGUUGACUUUUAAGAAAUCAGUGACUGUGUGGAGAGUUCUAAUUGGGAAUGUAAUAAAAUAACUGUGGGGGUGGGAGGGGGGCCCUAUCACACCAGGAAGCGUGUUUAUUGGUUGCAUUAGACCACUCAAGUGGAAGCACUGAGAUAUUCUGGAAAGAACAUAGGCUUGGGGGCCAACAGAUCUGGGUUCAGAGCCUUACUCUAUCACCUACAAGUUGUGUCUCUUUAGAAAAUUUACUUAAAAUUACUGGGAAUUUAUUUCAUCAUCUGUACAAUGGGCCACUUUUUUCUGUGAUUGUUGUUAAGAAUUGUAGUAACUGGUAAAUUGCCUAGCACAGUACAAGAUGUUACACUUCCAAGUCAAAUUGGAAACUGAGUGUUAGCCACCCAUCAUUCUGGUUUGAGAAAGCUGGUGGGAUAGUUUACAUGCAUGGCAUUAGCGCCAUCUAGUGGUAUACUACUGCCUACGCUUCCUUACAGAAUUCUGUCUUCUUUCAUUACCUUUGAAUGGCCACUUGAUUUAUUCAUUUUAUUCAACAAGCAUUUAUUGAAUGUCUACUGUAUGCCAGACACUGAUUUGGCAGCUGAAGUUACAACAGUGAACAAGAUAGACAUGGUCCCUGCCUUUAGGGAGUUUGUGGUCAGGUGGGAAGAUAGAAAUAAAAUAAUUACUGAAAUAGAAUUUGAAUUCAACUUACAAAAAGCACUAUGAAAGAGGACAGUGUGUGAGUCUAUAAUAAGGCUUCCCUAGGGAAGUGACAUUAGAGGUAAGAAGUGUAGAAUCCAGCCAGGAGACCACAUCAGGCAUGUAUCAGCCGCCCAGUAGCACCUCCCUGGACGCAUUUACCCCAUCCAGGAUCAGGAUCCUGCCAGUCUGUCAGGAACUCCUAUCUUGAACUGUGGCCUAUUUCGUCAAUCAUCUAAUGUCUAUCACAUCCCACUCUGUGCAAGUCACUUUACGUACACUGCUGCUGACUGUCUCAUGUUAUCCUUUUACAGGCGAUGUGCAGUGAGGUUAAGUAACUCGUACAAAGACAUAAAAUGACAUGUCAGAGUCAAGAUUCACACCCAGGUCUUUCUGCUGACAGCGCCCGUGCUCUUUCCUCUACUGAAGCUGUCUCCCGGAUGCCAAGCCCAGAUCUCUUUAUUCUGCAUUAUGCUGCUUGCCUUGGCAGAAAGGAAACCAUUAGGAGAAGUGCUUGGGGAAAACUAAAAUGCAAAGGGAGGGAGGGAAAAUGAAAUAACAGCUCAGUGGGUCAUGUGUGAAGGGCAGAGAGGAAACUGCUGACUUGGCUAGUUAUGUUUCUCUGGUGUGAUUUUAGGAAAGUAAACCCAAGAGAUCUCUUUCAUCAGGAAAGAAAGUAUCCCUAAUAACGUUGCUUAUACUCUUGUGGUUUAAAAUGCGUUGCAGCUGCUGCUAAAUUAAAAUGAUUUGGAGGAUCAUUUGGAGCAGAGAGGUUAUCCUCUGGAAAUCUAUAGGAAGUUGCAAGGAUUAAUGACCGCUAAGGAGCAAAACAUCGCUGGGUCAGAACCUAGCUGCAGGACUUAGAGGUUUUCUGCAACACGGGACUUUCAGCUUCAAAACUGGGACAUUCUCAUGACAAACUUAGGACAGUUGGUCGCCUGGCAGUGAGCCAGACUGGGAGGAUCUGAUGUACCCGUGGAAGUUAGGCCGAAACACUUACUGAAAUCUGGGGUCAAUUUGAGGCCUUGGCCACAGACCAAUGCAGAAAAGGUGGACAAAGGGUGGUACAGAUUCCUCAGUGCGAGUACCUUGGUACUCAGUCCCUAGAUUACCAACCCAGAACACCUGCUCUAGGUCUUGCAUGCAGAAUUAGUUGGCCCCAGUUCUGAGGGAGGGCUCAGGCGGAGGACAAGUAUGACCGCAGAAUCAGGCCACUCUGUGCUUCAGCUUCCUCAUCUGCAAAAUGGGAUAAAUAGCAGCACUUUGUGCCUAAAACUGCAUGUAAGCUCUGUUAGUUAAUAUGUAUAAAGUGCUCAGAAUGGUGACUGGUCCAUAUGAAUAUAGGAAGUAGCACCAUGGAAUUCUCAGGAAGAGAAACAGGUGUGUGGCCCUGGCUGGAUCAUGUCUAUGAUAGCUCAGUUUUCCCAUCUGUAAAAUGAUGAAGUCCCUGCCAAAGCUUGCAGAAGAAACAGAACAAGACACAGUCAACAAGGAAAGAAGUCACAGAUAGUAGGUAGGAACUUGUGCUCUGAAAUCAAACCCCCUAGAUUACAUCCAGCUCUGCCUCUUAGAUGUUCAUUUAUUUAUCUGCCACACCCCAGCCACCACCCCAAGACCCAAGAAACCAGGGUUGAAAUGCCAGGCACCAAAGCUGCUGCAGCCAUCAUCCAAAUCCCCCACACAGACCAGGGGCCCCCAGUCACUGGCCCAAGGCAGGAUGUAGCAUCCAGACAAAGCGGGGAAUGGAAUUUGCCAGAUAAUGGAUGCCAAUGUUUUGAGGAAGACAGCAGCCAAGGGAGAAAUGGAAAUGCAAACCAGGUACAAACACCAGUGGGCCAGGCGCUGUCCUGAGCACUUUAUGCACUAGUUCAUCUAAUUCUCCUAGCAAUCUUAUGAAGUAGGCACUAUUAUUCACCCCAUUUUACAGAUGAAGAGACUGGGGUGCACAGUGGCUAUAACUUGCUAAACUCACACAGCGAGCCAGAACUUUAGGCAAGUUUGCUGACAUUUCUAGUCCCUAGUUCCUCUCAAAAGAAUGAGGAUAAUAAAUUAUGACAUCUACCUCAUAGAUUUGUUAUGCAGAUUAGAUGGGAUAGUCUAUAUACAGCACUUAGAAAGGAUCGGAAACAUUUUAAGCACUCAAACCCCAAGUCACUCACUAGGUAAUUGGUGUGAUAAGAUACAUAGGCUACAAUUACCAAAAUUACAGCUGAUAGUUUAAGAAAAUGGCCAAAUGUGCAAGGUAGUAAAAGUCUGGGGUGGGGCAAGGGACAUAAAAUACCACAGGAACUGAGGAACAGGGGGUCAGGUCUGAAGAAUCUGUUUUGCAUGAGACACUUUGUAGGCCUUUGGAGAGAAAUGGUGAAGAGGACUUUAAGCAUGGACAGUUGGCCUCCAAACUCCGGGCUUUCAUUCCCUGAACUAAGAGGGACCACGAGCAAGCCCUCACCUCUGGGAAGAAGCCCUCAGCAGCCCAGAUAGGAGAGCUGAGGUGUCUGGAAAAGCCCACACCACGACCCGGGGCUGGGCCAGCUGUGGAGGGUCAGCAGUGCAGCCCCGUCUUGACUCCUGCUGAAGGCCUGGGCUGGGCCGCAGCUCUAGCUGAUGUUCCAGAUUUCUGCCAUGACCAGCCUCCUGCUUGCCAGCUUGAAACCACUGUUUGUUGACAUGAUCUCCCUGACUUCAUCCAUUUAGACCAUCUUUGGCUCACUGACCUCAGUCCACUCACUUUGCCUGCUGUAUUUUUUUUAUUGUGCCCCCCUGAUUCCAGGCAAGACAUUCCAUUCACUCCAGCCCCAAUCUGGGAACCUUGUCAGCAAAGAGGAUUGGCCAGGGAUGAGGAAUUGUGGUGAGGUGAAAGGAACACCUCUGAUAAGAGAUGUAGCAAUGCUACUCACUAAUAGCUCUAGAUUCUUGGCAAAGUCCUAGGAACUCACCCCACAUUUUUCAUCAGAGGGUGUAUUUGUUGCACUUUGGAAACCUAUUAAGAGUUGUAAUUAGCAGCAGGGAGAGAACAAGAACUCUUCUCCGGGGCAAGUGAUAAGAGCAGUAAGCACUGAGUGGACAGUGAUCAUCCAGCCAAGCAUGAUCCCUUUCCUCCUCUUCCAUCUCUUAAAAAGAGACUGUGCUCUCAGGCUCAGGGAAUUCUACCUGACUGUACUGCUUUGCGUCCAGAUGGAUUCCCUCUCUCUCCUGAGCCCUUUUGGGUACACGGCUGCUUUGGACAGUACCUGGUUUGCAUUUCAAUUUCUCCCUUCUGCCUUCCUCAAAUCACUGGCCUCUGUUAUCUGGCAAAUUCCAUUCCCCCCCUUGUCUGGAUGCUACCCCCUGCCUUGGGCCAGUGCCUAGCAGCCCCUGGCCUGUGUGGAGGAUUUAAAUGAUGGCUGCAGCAGCCUUGGUGCCUUGCAUUUCAACCCUGGUUUCUUGGGUCUUGAGGUUAUGGCUGGGAUGUGGCUGGUGGAACCCAACAAGGAGAUUUACCUCCAACAGUAAGGAGGGGUUUCUGUGAGAGAAAAUGAGCACCUGGGAACCCAGGCGGCCAGAGGUGAUUGAAUUGUUCCACACAAACUGGGUUCCCCUCAGGGCUGAUAUGGCCUGGAGAGACACCACUAGAGUCAUCAUGUGCCUCUAAGAGUUUGCUAGGAAAGUCUCCAAGAAAAGGCUAGACUUUCAUUGGGCUUGAAAAGUGGGCCACCCACACUGGGCACUCAGGUCUGCGUUUCUGCUCCAGUGUUCCCUCAGUCCAAUUUUACACAGCAGUAACACCCUCUUCCACUCAUGUUCUGUUAUGUUCUGCAGAUCCUAUAGGGGAACAUCCUGAUAAUGAAACCUUUGUAUUUUCCAUUGCUGCGACAAAAAGACCAGAUUAAACAUUUUAUGACA